CCAGACUCCUACGGGAGGCAGCAGUGGGGGAUAUUGCACAAUGGGGGCAACCCUGAUGCAGCGACGCCGCGUGAGCGAUGGAGUACUUCGGUAUGUAAAGCUCUGUCAGCAGGGAAGAGAAUGACGGUACCUGACCAAGAAGCCCCGGCUAAAUACGUGCCAGCAGCCGCGGUAAUACGUAGGGGGCAAGCGUUAUCCGGAUUUACUGGGUGUAAAGGGAGCGCAGGCGGCGUGGCAAGUCAGAUGUGAAAACCCGGGGCCCAACCCCGGGAGUGCAUUUGAAACUGCCAUGCUGGAGUGCCGGAGAGGUAAGCGGAAUUCCUAGUGUAGCGGUGAAAUGCGUAGAUAUUAGGAGGAACACCAGUGGCGGAGGCGGCUUACUGGACGGUAACUGACGCUGAGGCUCGAAAGCGUGGGGAGCAAACAGGAUUAGAUACCCUUGUAA
rnacentral:rRNA from 1 species